CAAUAGCGUAUAUUAAAGUUGUUGCAGUUAAAAAGCUCGUAGUUGGAUUUGUGGCGUACGGUGUGUUCCGGGCACUUGUUGUCUGAGUAACCUGCUGUUGCCAUCCUUGGGUGGAACCUGUGUGGCAUUAGGUUGUCGUGCAGGGGAUGCCCAUCAUUUACUGUGAAAAAAUAGAGUGUUCAAAGCAGGCUUAUGCCGUUGAAUAUAUUAGCAUGGAAUAAUGAGAUAGGACUUUUUUGCUAUUUUGUUGGUUUGCGCAAAGAGGUAAUGAUUAAUAGGGACAGUUGGGGGUAUUCGUAUUCCAUUGUCAGAGGUGAAAUUCUUGGAUUUUUGGAAGACGAACUACUGCGAAAGCAUUUACCAAGGAUGUUUUCAUUAA
rnacentral:rRNA from 1 species